AAGUGCGAAAUCAGUUUCUCUCCUUCACUGUGCUUUGUGCGAAAUCAGUUUCUCUUCUUCCUCCAUUCUCGAUCACUCCGUCUCCUCUCUCGAAUCUCAUUUCAUCCUUUUGGGUUAGGCAAAAUCUCCUUAUGAUGCUAUGAUGAAGAUCAGAAGAGAAGAAGGCUUCAAGAGAAUGAUUGUUUCUGGAAAUCGAUGGUGGGAAUGAGCGUUCAACGGGAAGCUGGCGAAGACGGCAAGAUCUCACGGGAAGAAGUUUCAGGUCACGGUGGAGAAGGAGACAUCAAGGAUUUUGGGAAACUUGGGAUGGGCUUAUAUGGAGAUAAUGGAGUACACAGCGGCUGAAGCUGUGUACCGUAAAGCUCAAGUUGUAGAGCCUGAUGCUAACAAGGCUUGUAAUCUGUGCACUUGUCUCAUCAAGCAAGGGAAGGUCGAUGAGGCGAGGUCGGUUAUGUUUCGUGAUGUAUUGUAGGAAAACAAAGAAGGGUUCGAUGAUGAUUCGAGGUUGAAGGUUCGAGUUCAAGAGCUGUUGAGCGAUCUAGAUGUUGUCACUUCUGUUUAUGUGGAAUGUGAAGUUGGUAUGGAUGAGAUCGCGGUUGUGGAAGAGAUUGAUGAGAUCAACUGGCUUGUUGAUGAUUCUUCGUUGCUUUGGUCUUUUGAAUGACCUUAUAAGAUCACAUGUGGCACCAAAACUCUUGAGCUGAAUCUGGCUAUUUAAUGGCAAAACAUGAAAUAGCCAGAUCGAUAUAUUCUUAUCAAGUGGUAUCAACAAGAUUUUUUGAUCUCGUGACCGUGGAUGCUGUUUAAACGAGGACGGUAUUGUUAAAUGUUAAGUAUCCUACAUCGCAAAGGAAUGAUGAUACAAGUUACUCUUUAAAGCUUUAGAUCGCGGCUUAUCUGUCUCUAGCCUUACCAGAUCAGGUAGGUCGACUGUACAAGAGUCAUGGGCUUCCAGAGUUACAUGGCAUCAAGGUACUUGUUAGAUCACUUCAACAUGUUUUAGGAACUAGAAUGUUUCCUCUAUGCUACUUUCAGAGUUACAUGGCAUCAAGGUUUUACAAUCGAUUUCAGACCAUAUCGACCAACCGGUCUCAUCUUUGGUUGAUCCGAUUUGAACCUCCAACAACCAUUUGGGCGACCCAGAUUCCAGCCUGCAACAUUUGGUAUCAGAGCUCAAGCUCCUGAAUCAGGUCCAUUCUAUCCUUGCAUCAUUCAUAUUUGUUUGCAUUUGUUUUCAUUUAAAAAAAAAACAGUUUUUGCAUUGUUAUUGUUGUUCUUAAGAAAAGAAAACUAAAGAAGAAGAAGUUGUCUAGUUUGAUCCACGAAAUUCUUUUGAAAUACUUGUCUAGUUGUUUGCAUUCAUUCCCCAGCUCCACUUGCCAUAUUUAGAUUUUGUGCAUUCAUUUUUAAAAAAAAAAAUCUGCAUUUCCAUAUUUGUUUCUUGCAUAAGAAAAUUCAAAAAAAAAAUAUCCUUGUUAGUUUGUUUCCAUAAGUCUUUCUAUUUAUUGUUCAUAGCAUCCCAUACUGAUUUAUUUCGUGCUUACAUCAAGAAAAAAAUUAAAAAAAAGAAAUUAUUUAGAGCAUAGUUCAUAUCAUUUGCAUAUUGUGGUUUAAUUGUUGCAUCUUAAGAAAAUUCAAAAAAAAAAAUCAGGCUUAGUUUAAUUUUUAUAUUUUCUUUCCCUUUGUGUUUCUUAUCAUACCAUAUUGUUUAAUUUCGAGAUUGCAUUCAGAAAACCAAUAGAGAAAAAUCAUUUUAGUAUAGUUACUUCAUUUCGGUUCAUAAUUGCAUAUUUUCUCGGUUUAGUUAAAUUGCAUUCUUGCACUUGUUUUAUUUUGGUUCAACCAAAACUUUCCAUACCUUCACUUGUUCUUUGAGAUUGUUUUCAGGAAGCAAUGGAGGAGGAGAGACACGGCCAAAACCUAAGGGCCACCUUGAGCCAACAGACCGCAGCUCUACAAAAGCUCCAAAUUAAGAUUGCUCAAUUGGAGAAAAGAAAUCAGGCACAAGGCCAACGACCACAGCAAGGAAAAACAAGAUUUGGAGAUGUACCAGGGGCUAUAUAUGUCGAUCCCAAGCCACCAGAUCCUUCAAAGAUCAAUCAAACUCCAACUUCUAAAACCCACAACAAUCAUGUUGUUAAUUCUCGGUUUGAUUAUAACUCUUUUGCUGAUAAAAUUGAACUCUUUAAAUUUUCAGGAAAAAUAGGUUAUCUUAGAUGGGAAAGAAACCUUGAUGAGUGGUUUCACUACAACAACAUCCAGAAAAAGGAGAGGUUGUUUUAUGCCAUUGAUCAACUAAAAGAUGAUGCCUUUAAAUGGUGGG